AUGUGGUUUAAUUCGAUGAUACGCGAGAAACCUUACCAGGGCUUGACAUAUACAGGAAUGUUGUAGAGAUACAGCAGCCGCUUGCGGUCUGUAUACAGGUGCUGCAUGGCUGUCGUCAGCUCGUGCUGUGAAGUGUGGUUAAGUCCCGCAACGAGCGCAACCCUAUCAUCUGUUGCCAGCAUUUAAGGUGGGGACUCAGAUGAGACUGCCGGUGACAAACCGGAGGAAGGUGGGGACGACGUCAAGUCAUCAUGGCCCUUAUGUCCUGGGCUACACACGUGCUACAAUGGCCGGUACAGAGUGAAGCGAAACCGCGAGGUGAAACAAAACGCAGAAAGCCGGUCUCAGUACGGAUUGGAGUCUGAAACUCGACUUCAUGAAGUUGGAAUCGCUAGUAAUCGCGCAUCAGCAUGGCGCGGUGAAUACGUUCCCGGGCCUU
rnacentral:rRNA from 1 species